CCUACGGGAGGCUGCAGUAGGGAAUCUUCCGCAAUGGGCGAAAGCCUGACGGAGCAACGCCGCGUGAGUGAAGAAGGAUUUCGGUUCGUAAAGCUCUGUUGUUAGGGAAGAAUGAUUGUGUAGUAACUAUACACAGUAGAGACGGUACCUAACCAGAAAGCCACGGCUAACUACGUGCCAGCAGCCGCGGUAAUACGUAGGUGGCAAGCGUUGUCCGGAAUUAUUGGGCGUAAAGCGCGCGCAGGUGGUUUAAUAAGUCUGAUGUGAAAGCCCACGGCUCAACCGUGGAGGGUCAUUGGAAACUGUUAAACUUGAGUGCAGGAGAGAAAAGUGGAAUUCCUAGUGUAGCGGUGAAAUGCGUAGAGAUUAGGAGGAACACCAGUGGCGAAGGCGGCUUUUUGGCCUGUAACUGACACUGAGGCGCGAAAGCGUGGGGAGCAAACAGGAUUAGAUACCCCAGUAGUC
rnacentral:rRNA from 1 species